UACGGGAGGCAGCAGUGGGGAAUAUUGGACAAUGGGGGCAAGCCUGAUCCAGCCAUGCCGCGUGAGUGAUGAAGGCCCUAGGGUUGUAAAGCUCUUUUGUGCGGGAAGAUAAUGACGGUACCGCAAGAAUAAGCCCCGGCUAACUUC
rnacentral:rRNA from 1 species